UACCUGGUUGAUCCUGCCAGUAGUCAUAUGCUUGUCUCAAAGAUUAAGCCAUGCAAGUCUAAGUACGAGCUCUCGUACAGUGAAACUGCGAAUGGCUCAUUAAAUCAGUUCUGGUUCAUUUGAUCGUACAGUUUACUUGGAUAACUGUGGUAAUUCUAGAGCUAAUACAUGCGAGAAGCGCCGACCUCGCGGGAGGCGUGCAUUUAUCAGACCAAAAACCGGCCGCGUCUUCGGGCGCGUUCGCCUUGGUGACUCUGGAUAACUUUGCGGAUCGCACGGUCUAGCACCGGCGACGGAUCAUUCAAGUGUCUGCCCUAUCAACUUUCGUCGGUACGGUAUUUGCCUACCGAGGUUCUUACGGGUGACGGGGAAUCAGGGUUCGAUUCCGGAGAGGGAGCCUGAGAAACGGCUACCACAUCCAAGGAAGGCAGCAGGCGCGCAAAUUACCCAUUCCCGACGCGGGGAGGUAGUGACGAAAAAUAACAAUGCAGGACUCGUUCGAGGCCCUGUAAUUGGAAUGAGUACACUUUAAAAGCUUUAACGAGUAUCCAUUGGAGGGCAAGUCUGGUGCCAGCAGCCGCGGUAAUUCCAGCUCCAAAAGUAUAUAUUUAAGUUGUUGCGGUUAAAAAGCUCGUAGUUGGAUUUUGGGCGCAGGCGGCCGGUCCGUCGCAAGGCGUGUACUGGACGUCCUGGCCUUCCCUCCGGUUCUCCGCCGGUGCUCUUGACUGAGUGUCGGCGGCGGCCGGAACGUUUACUUUGAAAAAAUUAG
rnacentral:ncRNA from 1 species